rnacentral:lncRNA from 1 species
AAUUUUUGAACGGAAAGUAUAAGAUAUACAUUUUUAUAAAAAAUGUAUAAGUAAAAUAUUUUGUGUAUUAAUUCUUAGAUUAAAGAUGUAAAAUGUACCUUUUUGAGUGAAAGUUGUUAAAUUUUAUUUUGAUUUUUUGGUGAUUUAAAACUUAUUAAGUUUUUUGAACAGUCCCAUACUUGAUGGGUUUUGGGAUCUUGGAGCCCAUAUUAAGAUUUUCAUAUGUGAGAAUUAAUUCCACAUUGGAAACAAAAAGUAUGUUGUUAUUAUUUAUAUACUCUUUCAUUCUCAAAUUAAUUGUUUGGAAGAAAAUAAGAGUUGUUACGACAAACGCACAAACGGAAACGAAAUGACGAACACAAAAACAAUCAAACUACAAGCAGAAAAUAAAUAGACACAGAUUUACGUGAAAAAUCCUUUACAGGGAAAAACUAAGGGCGAGGGAGGAGAGAACUUCACUAUGGAACGAAAAAGGAAAUACAAUGUUCUUCCAGUUACAACCGACUACGAUCACACGCCUCUAGGGCAAAAACGAAAAAAGAAAAACUCAUAACGGGUUUCGGAUCCGAUCCGUACCGCAGGGGGCGGAGUCCCCCGCACCCCCUGGCGAAUGUCAGUGGUGGGCUACGAGCUCGGGCCUGUCGGCCCGAGCCCUCUGCUACCCACCACAGACAUUCAUUUUUCCUCCAUAAUUUUCUUUUUCAAAUUGGUCACACCGCGAAGCUAUUGGCGAGUCGUAAAUCCGAACUUGAAUCGAUAGUAGAUUUCGAGUUACAUCUAACAAGAGUUAUGUUCUCGACUAAAUAUACACACGCACGGCACAAACCGAGAUGACGGUGGUGCGUGCGGUCCAAACACCCGGCUUAUUUUAUUUUAUUUUUAUUUAUUAUUUUAUCUUUAUGUGUUUGGGAGUCAUAAUCUGUAUCAUAAUUCGUAUCCCGUAUAUUCGGACUCGUAGGCUUAUCUUGUACUAACGGAUUGACAUGUUGAAAUAAAAUUUUUAUCUUGGACAUAUAUUAGAGGAAGUUGCAUGAGUGCAACCUAAACUUGGGCUUAUCUGAGAGCAAAAAUUCUAAUCUUUAUCUCGUCAUCUUCCGUUUUUUCGCCAUCGAUAUUUUACGCUAAUUUUUACUGAGCUUUCUCAUAUUUCGCUCGAUUUAAAAUUUGUUGGGUUCAACUUACGCCAUUUUGAAAACAUGCCAACGGAGUAGAAUGUGGAUAUUGUAUAGCUAAAAUAAUUGUCAAAAAGUCUCGCACGUCGAGAGAUAAUUUUACUUAUAAGAUAGUAC